rnacentral:rRNA from 1 species
UACGGAGGGUGCAAGCGUUAUUCGGAGUUAUUGGGCGUAAAGAGCGCGUAGGUGGCUCGAUAAGUUUGAUGUGAAAUCCCUGGACUCAAUCCAGGAAGUGCAUUGAAUACUGUCAAGCUAGAGUACAGGAGAGGUAGGCGGAAUUCCAGGUGUAGAGGUGAAAUUCGUAGAUAUUCGCAAGAACACCAGUGGCGAAGGCGGCUCACUGGCCCGGUACUGACGCUGAGGUGCGAAAGCGUGGGGAGCAAACAGG